AGGUCGGGGCGGCAGCUUACACAUGCAGUCGAGCGGAACGAUACCAGCUUGCUGGUAGGCGUCGAGCGGCGGACGGGUGAGUAAUACUUAGGAAUCUACCUAGUAGAGGGGGAUAGCUCGGGGAAACUCGAAUUAAUACCGCAUACGACCUACGGGAGAAAGGGGGCAGUUUACUGCUCUCGCUAAUAGAUGAGCCUAAGUCGGACUAGCUAGAUGGUGGGGUAAAGGCCUACCAUGGCGACGAUCUGUAGCUGGUCUGAGAGGAUGAUCAGCCACACCGGGACCGAGACACGGCCCGGACUCCUACGGGAGGCAGCAGUGGGGAAUAUUGGACAAUGGGGGAAACCCUGAUCCAGCCAUGCCGCGUGUGUGAAGAAGGCCUUUUGGUUGUAAAGCACUUUAAGCAGUGAAGAAGACUCCUCGGUUAAUACCCGUGGACGAUGACAUUAGCUGCAGAAUAAGCACCGGCUAACUCUGUGCCAGCAGCCGCGGUAAUACAGAGGGUGCAAGCGUUAAUCGGAAUUACUGGGCGUAAAGCGAGCGUAGGUGGCUUGAUAAGUCAGAUGUGAAAUCCCCGGGCUUAACCUGGGAACUGCAUCUGAAACUGUUAGGCUAGAGUAGGUGAGAGGAAGGUAGAAUUCCAGGUGUAGCGGUGAAAUGCGUAGAGAUCUGGAGGAAUACCGAUGGCGAAGGCAGCCUUCUGGCAUCAUACUGUCACUGAGGCUCGAAAGCGUGGGUAGCAAACAGGAUUAGAUACCCUGCUAGUCCACGCCGUAAACGAUGUCUACUAGUCGUUGGGUCCCUUGAGGACUUAGUGACGCAGCUAACGCAAUAAGUAGACCGCCUGGGGAGUACGGCCGCAAGGUUAAAACUCAAAUGAAUUGACGGGGGCCCGCACAAGCGGUGGAGCAUGUGGUUUAAUUCGAUGCAACGCG
rnacentral:rRNA from 1 species